CGGGGCGCAGCAGGCGCGAAACCUCCUCAAUGCACUAAAGUGCGAAGGGGUUACCUCGAGUGCCAUCUGAUGAAGGUGGCUUUUCCUUGGUCUAAAAAGCCUAGGGAAUAAGAGGGGGGCAAGACUGGUGUCAGCCGCCGCGGUAACACCAGCCCCUCGAGUGGUGGGGAUGAUUAUUUGGCCUAAAGCGUCCGUAGCCGGCCGGGUAAGUUUCCCGUUAAAUCCGACGUCUCAAGCGUUGGACUGCGGGAAAUACUGCCUGGCUAGAGAGUGGGAGAGGUCAGCGGUAUUCUGGGGGUAGGGGCGAAAUCCUUUGAUCCCCGGAGGACCACCAGUGGCGAAGGCUGCUGACUAGAACACGUCUGACGGUCAGGGACGAAAGCUGGGGUAGCGAACCGGAUUAGAUACCCGGGUAGUCCCAGCCGUAAACGAUGCAUGCUAGGUGUUGGGUUGGCCACGAGCCACCCCAGUGCCGCAGGGAAGCCGUUAAGCAUGCCGCCUGGGAAGUACGAUCGCAAGAUUGAAACUUAAAGGAGUUGCG
rnacentral:rRNA from 1 species